rnacentral:rRNA from 1 species
AUUGAACGCUGGCGGCAUGCCUUACACAUGCAAGUCGAACGGCAGCACGGGAGCAAUCCUGGUGGCGAGUGGCGAACGGGUGAGGUAAUAUAUCGGAACGUGCCCGGUCGUGGGGAUAACGUAGCGAAAGCUACGCUAAUACCGCAUACGAUCUACGGAUGAAAGCGGGGGAUCGCAAGACCUCGCGCGAUUGGAGCGGCCGAUAUCAGAUUAGGUAGUUGGUGAGGUAAAGGCUCACCAAGCCGACGAUCUGUAGCUGGUCUGAGAGGACGACCAGCCACACUGGGACUGAGACACGGCCCAGACUCCUACGGGAGGCAGCAGUGGGGAAUUUUGGACAAUGGGCGCAAGCCUGAUCCAGCAAUGCCG